rnacentral:rRNA from 1 species
UGGGGAAUUUUGGACAAUGGGGGAAACCCUGAUCCAGCCAUCCCGCGUGUGCGAUGAAGGCCUUCGGGUUGUAAAGCACUUUUGGCAGGAAAGAAACGUCAUGGGUUAAUACCCCGUGAAACUGACGGUACCUGCAGAAUAAGCACCGGCUAACUACGUGCCAGCAGCCGCGGUAAUACGUAGGGUGCAAGCGUUAAUCGGAAUUACUGGGCGUAAAGCGUGCGCAGGCGGUUCGGAAAGAAAGAUGUGAAAUCCCUGGGCUCAACUUUGGAACUGCAUUUUUAACUACCGGGCUAGAGUGUGUCAGAGGGAGGUGGAAUUCCGCGUGUAGCAGUGAAAUGCGUAGAUAUGCGGAGGAACACCGAUGGCGAGGGCAGCCUCCUGGGAUAACACUGACGCUCAUGCACGAAAGCGUGGGGAGCAAACAGG